UAAUGAACUUGUCCUAUCCUGGUACAUUAUAUACACGUCAGUGAGUGUGGGUGUAGGUGUGUGUUCUGUUUUACCCCAGGAGGACCGCCUGUGUGCUACAUAGUGAUGAAGGACACUUGGUUAUCUCUACCUGGCACCCUUAUCACGUGUGACACCUUUCAACAACCCUCCGUCCCCACCUUUCUGUCCAAUGCGCUCUGAAAAUGGGGGCCAGAGAUAAGGAGCGUGUGUUUGCAUGUCUACGAGUUUGUGUGCACGCAUGGCACAGUGAGUGGGAGACAAGGGUACACUGAGGGGCUCGGGGCGCACUGUGCCGCACGCCACGCCACAAGGUGGGAUAAGAAGCAAACAAACAUACAGGCUGCGCUCAGCAACCCCGAUCAGAGUGUCUGCCAGGGUCCUGAUAAGCUGUCAGGCAGGAGAGGACCGUGAGAGGUGGAAGGAGUGGGUGGCGGUUGUGGGUAUGUAUGCCUGUUGACAUUGAAGGACGCGCUCCCUCUCUGAGCGCUAAUGGUCACGAACUUGUCCCACAAUAAUUAUUUUGUUACUUAUCCAUAUUGUCAUCCAUAUUUUUGACGGUUCUACACUACACUGACACCCAAACCUCUUGAAUCAAGACAAACUUUAAUGAGCAUGCAGGUGACACAAUGAGUGGUUCCUCUGUGAGCCUGGAUUUAGCCUCAAUGACGUACUUCAUGCAUGUGUACACACAAUAGCCCCAGAGUGAUGAGCAUCAUGUAGUUUGCCCUCCCGUAUUAUUAUUCUUUUUUUAAUGUUUUGUGGGGAUAAAUCCACAAAUUCUCACCACGUUUUGCACUCUCCACAACCCAAAAAUGUACUUUCAUCUCACCGUAGAACUAUCUUAACACCUGCCUGUCUUUUGAUGGAUGGUCAAUCCAGCUGUCUGCUGAUGAGUACACAUCUGUCCGCCUGUCCAUCUGCCAGCUUUUGGAGCCAAUGUGUGGGGUGGCAUGAGCAACAUUGCUGCCCUGUGAGAAAUAAAGCAUUAAAUACCAACUGAACAGUAUGUUUAUUUGGAGAGGAAACGCUGCCAGCACAAACAACGCAAAGACACAGCUUGCCUCUGCCAUAAGACGACAACUGCUCACUCCAAAGUUGUUUUGUGUGUUUGUGUCUACACUGGGAAGCCUGUAAUCAUAGAUGACCUAGCUUUUGUUCAGUGUGUGUGAACCCCGCUGCUUCACUGUGAGGACAUGGCUUCUGGAGGGCUGCCUGCAGUCUCCAGGGUUAAGCUAGCUGUGGUUGAUCAGUAAAUUACAUUCAGACUGUAAGCAGGCUGCUUGAUAAACCCAGUGGUGGGUCGUCAGGGUCAGCUUAGCCUUCUCUGCUGCCCUAAACAGAAUCACAAAUUUAAACUAUUUCAUCAUUUAAGUUGCAUUACAUGUAUUAUUCCUAUUAUCUGGUUUUCUCAUUGCACGGCUCUUGUCUUCGGCUGUUGCUCUGCUUCCAGCGCAAAAAGAGCUUUUUCAGAUUCAGCCCCCCUGUCUCUAUGUGAAGUAUAUAUUUUUCAACCUAUCCGGUCUUUAGUUUGACCUGUUGGGGGUUUUCUUUGACGUGCCAGUUGCACCUCUGUAGGCUCAUUAGUACUUUGUCUGUAAAUAGGGACCAUGCUUUUGUGUUAUUUGUCCGUAUUGUUUUUAUUAUAUAUUGAAUAUCCCUCUGAUCUAAAUAAUAUUUGAAUGGAACCGUGCUGUUGAGUUUUUUAGUGCUGUAGUUUUGAUGGAUUGUUUUUUCAUGCUUUGUUGCAAAUAAAUGUCACUGGUUCUUGUGAGAUUUCACUUGUCAUCGAGUUAAUUACAUUGAUUUGACUACACGCAUUCAUGUAUCUGCAUUUAGUGUAUUUGUAGGAGUUGAGCUUUAUGUAACAUUUUAUUUCACGUUAAAUAUUGCAGUGUUUUGUGAUUAAGAACCAGAACCUCUAACUGUGGCGUCAUGAUGAG
ensembl:lncRNA